GACGAACGCUGGCGGCGUGCUUAACACAUGCCAGUCGAACGGAAAGGCCCUGCUUUUGUGGGGUGCUCGAGUGGCGAACGGGUGAGUAACACGUGAGUAACCUGCCCUUGACUUUGGGAUAACUUCAGGAAACUGGGGCUAAUACCGGAUAGGAGCUCCUGCUGCAUGGUGGGGGUUGGAAAGUUUCGGCGGUGGGGGAUGGACUCGCGGCUUAUCAGCUUGUUGGUGGGGUAGUGGCUUACCAAGGCUUUGACGGGUAGCCGGCCUGAGAGGGUGACCGGCCACAUUGGGACUGGGAUAGGGCCCAGACUCCAACGGGAGGCAGCAGUGGGGAAUAUUGCAAAAUGGGCGGAAGCCUGAUGCAGCAACGCCGGGUGCGGGAUGACGGCCUUCGGGUUGUAAACCGCUUUCGCCUGUGACGAAGCGUGAGUGACGGUAAUGGGUAAAGAAGCACCGGCUAACUACGUG
rnacentral:rRNA from 1 species